rnacentral:rRNA from 1 species
GACGAACGCUGGCGGCGUGCUUAACACAUGCAAGUCGAGCGGUAAGGCCCUUUCGGGGGUACACGAGCGGCGAACGGGUGAGUAACACGUGGGUGACCUGCCCUCAGCUCUGGGAUAAGCCCGGGAAACUGGGUCUAAUACUGGAUAUGACUCCAUGACGCAUGUUGUGGGGUGGAAAGCCUUGUGCGGCUGGGGAUGGGCCCGCGGCCUAUCAGCUUGUUGGUGGGGUGAUGGCCUACCAAGGCGACGACGGGUAGCCGGCCUGAGAGGGCGACCGGCCACACUGGGACUGAGACACGGCCCAGACUCCUACGGGAGGCAGCAGUGGGGAAUCUUGCGCAAGUGGGCGAAAGCCUGACGCAGCGACGCCGCGUGAGGGAUGACGGCCUCGGCGU